rnacentral:lncRNA from 1 species
GAAAUGUUUUGAGCACCGAUAUGGUGCCACUUGUGGAAAAUUCUAUUUCUUACCUCGCGUGAUGGGUCACAGUCCAAACACAAUCCAAACUUUGUUUCAUGAACAAAAUUAUUUAAGAAUACCAUAUAAAAUUGCCUUCUGGCUAUGUGUAUAAGAUACAUGUGAAAUAUAAAUGAAUUUCAUGUUUAGACUUGGGUCCUAUCCCCAAUAUAUCUCAUUAUGUAUAUGCAAAUAUUCCCAAAUCUGAAUAAAUGCCAAAUUCAAAAGACUUCUGGUCCCAAGCAUUUUGGAUAAGGGAUACUCAACCUGUACCUUCUCCCUGAAGCCUUCUGUACUAUCUCUCAUUGUAAGGAAUCCCAACCGCCACUGCCUUCCAAAUGUUCCUCUGUCAUAGCACUUGGUCUGGCCAGUCUUGUGUUAGUUCUUGCUGAUAGAUUUUCCUUCCCCAUUAUGCUGUGAGUUCCUGACAGCCAGAACCUCUGCCUGCUUUGUGUUUAUAACCUAGAGAGAUAAACUGAGUGGCAGAAUAACUUCAUGGAGCCCUUGGGGUUGAUGGUGUCCUACUUUAAUCUUUCACAGGGACCUGGAAUAUUUAUGGCAACCUGGGCAGGAGGCAGGGCUGGGACAAGGAUGAGGUGAUUUGCUCUUGAACAAUUAACAGAGUGAAGGCUGUGUUCCAUCUCCUCACAGGCUCCCGCCGGGCACCCUUGGGAGCGCAGGAGGAGAAAGGCUUUCUUCUUGAUCCUAUUACUGCUGCCCAGCGUCAAGAAGGAUUAAUUAACCCACCAGGUUUUGCUUCAUUACGAGGAAAAAAGAAAAGCCAGUGACAGUGGAAUUCAAACAUUGAACAGGUAAAGGACUCAGUGCUCAAGCACCUUAUGAACAUUUCGCAGACU